AGCUUUGCACAGUGGCAGUAUCAUAGCCAAUUAGGUUUAUCCAAGGCGUGAUUAUUGCUAAUUGAAAACUUGUCUCAAUACCCUGCUAACUGGCUUUAGUCAGCAUAACAAUUUUUUUAGGUCUCCACAGAGA